GUCCACGCCCUAAACGAUGCUGACUAGUUGUUCGGGAUUUACAUCCUGAGUAACGUAGCUAACGCGUGAAGUCAGCCGCCUGGGGAGUACGGUCGCAAGAUUAAAAACUCAAAGGAAUUGACGGGGACCCCGUACAAGCGGUGGAUGAUGUGGAUUAAUUCGAUGCAACGCGAAAAACCUUACCUACCCUUGACAUGUCACUAACGAAGUAGAGAUGCAUUAGGUGCCCGUAAGGGAAAGUGAACACAGGUGCUGCAUGGCUGUCGU
rnacentral:rRNA from 1 species